GACGAACGCUGGCGGCGUGCUUAACACAUGCAAGUCGAACGAAGUGGCGCACGGGUGAGUAACGCGUAAACAACCUGCCCUUCAGAGGGGGACAACAGUUGGAAACGACUGCUAAUACCGCAUAAUGUAGGAGGGGAUUGCGUGUGAUUAGCUAGUUGGAGGGGUACCGGACGACCAAGGCGAUGCACAGUAGCCGGUCUGAGAGGAUGAACGGCCACAUCGGGACUGAGACACGGCCCAGACUCCUACGGGAGGCAGCAGUGGGGAAUCUUCCGCAAUGGACGAAAGUCUUACGGAGCAACGCCGCGUGAGUGAUGACGGCCUUCGGGUUGUAAAGCUCUGUUAAUCGGGACGCGGUACCGGAAUAGAAAGCCACGGCUAACUACGUGCCAGCAGCCGCGGUAAUAC
rnacentral:rRNA from 1 species